AUUGAACGCUGGCGGCAGGCCUAACACAUGCAAGUCGAACGAGUGGCGGACGGGUGAGUAAUGUCUGGGAAACUGCCUGGUAGAGGGGGAUAACUACUGGAAACGGUGGCUAAUACCGCAUACCAUCGGAUCUGCCCAGAUCGGAUUAGCUUGUUGGUGGGGUAACGGCUCACCAAGGCGACGAUCCCUAGCUGGUCUGAGAGGAUGACCAGCCACACUGGAACUGAGACACGGUCCAGACUCCUACGGGAGGCAGCAGUGGGGAAUAUUGCACAAUGGGCGAAAGCCUGAUGCAGCCAUGCCGCGUGUAUGAAGAAGGCCUUCGGGUUGUAAAGUACUUUCGGCGGGGAGGCGGUACCCGCAGAAGAAGCACCGGCUAACUCCGUGCCAGCAGCCGCGGUAAUAC
rnacentral:rRNA from 1 species